rnacentral:rRNA from 1 species
GUAGGUGGCAAGCGUUGUCCGGAAUUAUUGGGCGUAAAGCGCGCGCAGGCGGUCCUUUAAGUCUGAUGUGAAAGCCCACGGCUCAACCGUGGAGGGUCAUUGGAAACUGGGGGACUUGAGUACAGAAGAGGAAAGCGGAAUUCCACGUGUAGCGGUGAAAUGCGUAGAGAUGUGGAGGAACACCAGUGGCGAAGGCGGCUUUCUGGUCUGUAACUGACGCUGAGGCGCGAAAGCGUGGGGAGCAAACAGGGAUUAGAUACCCUGGUAGUCCACGCCGUAAACGAUGAGUGCUAAGUGUUAGGGGGUUUCCCGCCCCUUAGUGCUGCAGCUAACGCAUUAAGCACUCCGCCUGGGGAGUACGCCGCAAGGCUG